UACGAAGGGGGCUAGCGUUGUUCGGAUUUACUGGGCGUAAAGCGCACGUAGGCGGUUUGUUAAGUCAGGGGUGAAAUCCCGGAGCUCAACUCCGGAACUGCCUUUGAUACUGGCAAGCUAGAGUCCGGAAGAGGUAAGUGGAACUCCGUAGUGUAGAGGUGGAAUUCGUAGAUAUUAGGAAGAACACCAGUGGCGAAGGCGGCUUACUGGCCCGGAACUGACGCUGAGGUGCGAAAGCGUGGGGAGCGAACAGG
rnacentral:rRNA from 1 species